UGGUGAGCAACAGAAUCUAACACAAGUUGU
rnacentral:piRNA from 1 species